rnacentral:rRNA from 1 species
UACCGAGUGAGGGCCCUCUGGGUCCAACCUCCCACCCGUGUUUAUUUACCUUGUUGCUUCGGCGGGCCCGCCUUAACUGGCCGCCGGGGGGCUCACGCCCCCGGGCCCGCGCCCGCCGAAGACACCCUCGAACUCUGUCUGAAGAUUGUAGUCUGAGUGAAAAUAUAAAUUAUUUAAAACUUUCAACAACGGAUCUCUUGGUUCCCGCAUCGAUGAAGAACGCAGCGAAAUGCGAUACGUAAUGUGAAUUGCAAAUUCAGUGAAUCAUCGAGUCUUUGAACGCACAUUGCGCCCCCUGGUAUUCCGGGGGGCAUGCCUGUCCGAGCGUCAUUGCUGCCCUCAAGCACGGCUUGUGUGUUGGGCCCCGUCCUCCGAUUCCGGGGGACGGGCCCGAAAGGCAGCGGCGGCACCGCGUCCGGUCCUCGAGCGUAUGGGGCUUUGUCACCCGCUCUGUAGGCCCGGCCGGCGCUUGCCGAUCAACCCAAAUUUUUAUCCAGGUUGACCUCGGAUCAGGUAGGGAUACCCGCUGAACUU